rnacentral:tRNA from 1 species
GGGCUAAUAGCUCAGGUGGUUAGAGCGCACCCCUGAUAAGGGUGAGGUCCCUGGUUCGAAUCCAGGAUGGCCCA